UGCGUAGGGCGCAAGCGUUAUCCGGAAUUAUUGGGCGUAAAGAGCUCGUAGGCGGUUUGUCGCGUCUGCCGUGAAAGUCCGGGGCUCAACUCCGGAUCUGCGGUGGGUACGGGCAGACUAGAGUGAUGUAGGGGAGACUGGAAUUCCUGGUGUAGCGGUGAAAUGCGCAGAUAUCAGGAGGAACACCGAUGGCGAAGGCAGGUCUCUGGGCAUUAACUGACGCUGAGGAGCGAAAGCAUGGGGAGCGAACAGG
rnacentral:rRNA from 1 species